AUUGAACGCUGGCGGCAUGCCUUACACAUGCAAGUCGAACGGCAGCACGGGUGCUUGCACCUGGUGGCGAGUGGCGAACGGGUGAGUAAUACAUCGGAACGUACCUUAUCGUGGGGGAUAACAAAUUGAAAAAUUUGCUAAUACCGCAUACUACUCUGAGGAGGAAAGCGGGGGACUCGUAACAACCUCGCGCGAUUCGCGCGGCCGAUGGCUGAUUAGCUAGUUGGUGAGGUAAAGGCCCACCAAGGCAACGAUCAGUAGCAGGUCUGAGAGGAUGAUCUGGCACACUGGAACUGAGAAACGGUCCAGACUCCUACGGGAGGCAGCAGUGGGGAAUUUUGGACAAGGGACGAAAGCCUGAUCCAGCAAUGCCGCGUGAGUGAAGAAGGCCUUCGGGUUGUAAAGCUCUUUUGUCAGUGAAGAAAACUUUAAUAAUAACACUAUUAAAGCAUUACGGUAACUGAAGAAUAAGGACCGGCUAGCUACGUGCCAGCCGCCGCAGUAA
rnacentral:rRNA from 1 species